GGCUGCCCCAAACAUAAAAGCAACUAGGCCAACCGAUGGACGAUGCCGCGAGGAAGCCGGAGCUCAGCAAGCAUACCACGUUGCCGAUCCAGCCGCCAGAAUAAACAAACAUUGCUGGAGAAAUAUGUGAAAUGUGGCGACCAUUUGGACAGCAAGGUGUGCAGACACGGUAGGGCAGAACCCUGGACGAGACCACAUAUCGCCCUUGUGGCGAUCACUAACUCCCAACCACCAUAAUGGGCGGCCAUGGGGGUACUGAGGGUCACUAAUCCGGAGAUGAUCAAGGUCGCCGAAAAUAAUCCCUGGGCGGACCAUCGCUGAGUGAGGAUGCUGGCAGGUAUUUGCGUACAGAUUACCUUUUGGUUUAUUUGGUGGGACUUUCAUCCUUUCUGAGAGAGAUAUGAUGGAGACUCUCUUCCUCCGCAGAGACGACGCCAUGAUAGUGAAUCUUCUAAUGAAGCUGAUACUGUGAAGCAAAUUACAAAAACUGACUACGACCCAUCGACCAUAUCCACGUAGCUUUAUACUAUCACCGAAAACCGUUUCUCCCACCCUUUUACGCUCAAACGUAUGCUUUAAAUGACGGCACGUUUUGCUGCCAUUUUAACAAUCGAAUAAUACUUUAACAUUGACAUCAUUAUAUAUGGCAAAGUACAAUUAAUUCUCUGUCAUUGUACAUCUGUUCAAUAUUCUUCUCGGUCUGCUUUUUCUUUCAUUAAUUGUCGAAUAAAAUUAACAUUUAAUCAUUGUACUAUAAUUGUGUAAUUGAAUAGCAUCAAUUACAUCACUUGUUUUAAAUC